rnacentral:rRNA from 1 species
ACAAGGGAGUUUACUUCUGAGGUGGCGAGCGGCGGACGGGUGAGUAAUGCCUAGGGAUCUGCCCAGUCGAGGGGGAUAACAGUUGGAAACGACUGCUAAUACCGCAUACGCCCUACGGGGGAAAGGAGGGGACCUUCGGGCCUUCCGCGAUUGGAUGAACCUAGGUGGGAUUAGCUAGUUGGUGAGGUAAUGGCUCACCAAGGCGACGAUCCCUAGCUGUUCUGAGAGGAUGAUCAGCCACACUGGGACUGAGACACGGCCCAGACUCCUACGGGAGGCAGCAGUGGGGAAUAUUGCACAAUGGGGGAAACCCUGAUGCAGCCAUGCCGCGUGUGUGAAGAAGGCCUUCGGGUUGUAAAGCACUUUCAGUAGGGAGGAAAGGGUGUAGUUUAAUACGCUAUAUCUGUGACGUUACCUACAGAAGAAGGACCGGCUAACUCCGUGCCAGCAGCCGCGGUAAUACGGAGGGUCCGAGCGUUAAUCGGAAUUACUGGGCGUAAAGCGUGCGCAGGCGGUUUGUUAAGCGAGAUGUGAAAGCCCUGGGCUCAACCUAGGAAUAGCAUUUCGAAC